ensembl:lncRNA
CCCAUUCUCCCUCCAACUACCAAUGACACCUUGGUAUGUUGUUCUUAGUGGCCUCAAAGUCGUUCAGGUUAUUUCAGUCAUCAUCUAUGACCACAUGAUUUCAUGCCAAUGUGCAACGAAACAUAUAUGUAACAGUUCUACUGGUUUGACGUCUUAUCAACCAAUCGGAAACCUGAAACAAACCCUCCAUCCUUCAGGUUAAAACACACUGACCGACAUUUAACAAAAAAAAAAAUCAUUUUUGACCCACUGCAUGAAAAGUUUGUAUAGAAGAACAGACUGGACGGUCACUGUAAGCAGGACCCUCCACGGCACUGUGGGGGCCUGGUCAAGCCACACACACCAAGACUGAAUGAGGGCGUACAAACAUCCGGACGAAGCCAAGCAAACCCAUGCUCCAAGUAACACAAAGGUGGACAUUCGUGACUGACAGUCUACACGAUUAACCCUUUGGCAACAAGUCCCCCAUACGGGGAGUGAUGGGGUACUAAUAAACAUGCCAUAAAAAGAAAAAACAAGUCUAGAUUCAAUAGUUCUAUAUUCAGUCCAUACAGUAGCUGAGUACAAAUGUUCAUUGCCGUUUUUUGAUGAUUUUCAUUUCACAAUAUCGUUGGAUUCUUAUGAGUAACAUUGGUCAUCAUGGUUGAACUUUUUUGGGAGUCUUUUCCGGUUUCAAAAUGAAUCAUUGCAUAGAACAUUUGAAAUGAUGAUUGCUUCAGACCACUCCUGCAUAUGUAUGUGUGUUUUUGUGUGUGAGUGUGUCACGGUGCAGUUGUGUGUAUGUGUGGGCGUAAACUUAGAUUCAGGUGUGUAUGUAUGGCUAGCAACUCUCUCAGACAUAUUUACUGUUUUUAACAUGUUUCAGAUAUUCCCAACCACAACUUUAAACAACAGUAACACCAUUGUGCUGAAUAUCUUUUUCUGCAUGCUAUUGCUUUUAAAAAUGAACCAGCAAAUUAUUCAAAUGCAAGAUAAUAAAUAACAAAACAAUAGACCAUUAAAAUAUACAUACAAUUUACC